CAGUAGCCGCGGUAAUACGGAGGGGGCUAGCGUUGUUCGGAAUUACUGGGCGUAAAGCGUACGUAGGCGGCUUUGUAAGUUAGAGGUGAAAGCCUGGUGCUCAACACCAGAACUGCCUUUAAGACUGCAUCGCUUGAACGUCGGAGAGGUGAGUGGAAUUCCGAGUGUAGAGGUGAAAUUCGUAGAUAUUCGGAAGAACACCAGUGGCGAAGGCGGCUCACUGGACGACUGUUGACGCUGAGGUACGAAAGCGUGGGGAGCAAACAGGAUUAGAUACCCCAGUAGUCCCUGUCUCUUAUAC
rnacentral:rRNA from 1 species